CCUUUUCAAUGUCUUCCUUUGACGAUGCUUCAAUUUCUUCACCGGUUUCUUUCUUUGUUUUCUCGAUUUUUGGCAAAUGAAUGUCUGUUUCCACCCCUGGAACGGUAACAUCAAAACUUUUUAUACCUGGAAUGGACUCCACUAGCUCUGGCUGUUCGCGUUCCUUUAGUUGUACUUCUUUGCUUUGGAGGCGUGUCAUUAUUGAUGGUAGUUGGACAUCUAUUUGUGGAGCUGCCACAGAAAUAUUUUUUGAGGCGAGAUCGAUUUCAGGUCUUUCUCCACUGACAUCAAGACCAGUUGUAACAGUUGUCACUUGAGGACCUUUAACAUCAACGUCUACUGCUGGUAAUGAAACCUCAGGUUUGAUCACUCCCACAUGCAUUUCUUGUUUAGGCACUUUCUCUGCCGAGACUG